CAGUGGGCAGCUAUACAUGCAGUCGAGCGAGCUGACCAACAGAUUCACUUCGGUGAUGACGUUGGGAACGCGAGCGGCGGAUGGGUGAGUAACACGUGGGGAACCUGCCCCAUAGUCUGGGAUACCACUUGGAAACAGGUGCUAAUACCGGAUAAGAAAGCAGAUCGCAUGAUCAGCUUAUAAAAGGCGGCGUAAGCUGUCGCUAUGGGAUGGCCCCGCGGUGCAUUAGCUAGUUGGUAGGGUAACGGCCUACCAAGGCAAUGAUGCAUAGCCGAGUUGAGAGACUGAUCGGCCACAUUGGGACUGAGACACGGCCCAAACUCCUACGGGAGGCAGCAGUAGGGAAUCUUCCACAAUGGACGAAAGUCUGAUGGAGCAACGCCGCGUGAGUGAAGAAGGUUUUCGGAUCGUAAAGCUCUGUUGUUGGUGAAGAAGGAUAGAGGUAGUAACUGGCCUUUAUUUGACGGUAAUCAACCAGAAAGUCACGGCUAACUACGUGCCAGCAGCCGCGGUAAUACGUAGGUGGCAAGCGUUGUCCGGAUUUAUUGGGCGUAAAGCGAGCGCAGGCGGAAGAAUAAGUCUGAUGUGAAAGCCCUCGGCUUAACCGAGGAACUGCAUCGGAAACUGUUUUUCUUGAGUGCAGAAGAGGAGAGUGGAACUCCAUGUGUAGCGGUGGAAUGCGUAGAUAUAUGGAAGAACACCAGUGGCGAAAGGCGGCUCUCUGGUCUGCAACUGACGCUGAGCUCGAAAGCAUGGGUAGCGAACAGGAUUAGAUACCCUGGUAGUCCAUGCCCGUAACGAUGAGUGCUAGUGUGGGAGGUUUCCGCCUCUCAGUGCUGCAGCUAACGCAUUUAGCCACUCCGCCCUUGGGGGAGUUACGA
rnacentral:rRNA from 1 species